AUGACAAAAACAUGUAUUUAGGGCCCAUAUUAUACCACCCAUCAAAAGUUUAGACUCACUUACACUUAAAGCACGCGCU